AGGACUUUGCAGUUGAGAUCAUAAUGUCUACCCAUGAGCACUGGAGGGCACUAGUGCAGAAGAAGUCAAACAGCGCAGGCAUCGCAUGCAAAAAUAUCUCCUGCUGUGAGAGCCCCUCUAAGUGCAGUGCAGAAGAGGCCAAAGAGGUGGUGGAAUCGGCCCCUGCAUUCGACAGCACACAUGUUGCGUGUCCAGAAUUGGGCAAGUGGCAUUUUGUCUGAGGAUCUGAAGACAACAUGGAAACCAACUUGAAGCAGCUGAACACUUUUGAAUGCAGCUUGAUUGAUUUUUGGUAAGGACACAUUUUCAGCUGUAAAAAGUGCCAUCUGAGUUUAUCACCCAAUCAUUUGGAGUAAAAAAAUGUAUUGGACAUACAAAGGACUUGAAGAUCUGUAUGGGAUGUUUUUUAGUGUUAUGUUGGACACCAGAUUGAUUUAUAAUAAUAUUUUUAAUUCAGAGGUUAAUCCCCCCCAAAAAAUGUAUCUCCUUUUCCAUUGAAUUGUAAAUGAUAUUGUAUAUUUUCUGCAGUUUUUUUGUGUCAAAUGUCCAGGUCCAGCCUUAUAUGGGACUAAAGUCAUGAUAAGGUUUUUAUUGGGCUAAGCAGUUUCUGCGAGAAACCAUAACGCAGUUUGUUUGUAACACCGGUUCCUUUCCGUUUUGGUUAAAUCAAAUAAAAAAAAUCCAUUGAUAAAGUA